rnacentral:lncRNA from 12 species
UAAACCUCCUUUUCUUCUGUAGGACUCAGCUCAGGGACUGUGGGUGCACAACAUAAAUUAAUUUCUCAUGAGCUUGUUCACCUUCCCCUGAAAAUCUGGUGGAAAAAGACUUAAGUCCUAAUCAGGCUGUUAGUCACAGCAGGUUUCCCAGGCCUUGGGGCUAAUCUCUGUAGGGUAUGUAUGCCAGGCAUGCUGCUGGGGGCUCUGCUCCAGGCGGAUGGGAGUGCUUGCCUGGGAAAGGAAUCACUUUGGGCAGCAAAUCCUUCCUCCCUGGGAGGGAACUGUGGGCAGGCACGAAGCAAGCGGGGGACACAUCCAUCAGCGUGUUUGAGCAAAGAAAAAUCUCUUUGUGAGGAACCCAGGGGCGUUUCAUAAGGAAAACUUUGUCCGCUGCGUAUGCCAGGCAUGCUGCUGGGGGCUCUGCUCCAGGCAGAUGGGAGUGCUUGCCUGGGAAAGGAAUCACUUUGGGCAGCAAAUCCUUCCUCCCUGGGAGGGAACUGUGGGCAGGCACGAAGCAAGCGGGGGACACAUCCAUCAGCGUGUUUGAGCAAAGAAAAAUCUCUUUGUGAGGAACCCAGGGGCGUUUCAUAAGGAAAACUUUGUUCGCUGCAGGGCUGGUGUUGUGACGGCUGCCAGUGGAGGUGGGAUGGACGGACAGAUGGAUGGACAGAGAGGGUGAAAGGUGCCUCCUUCCAAGGCAGCAGCUGGUGAGAAGGAGCCUGGGCUGCUCAGUGUCAGCACACACGUGGCCGUGGGGAAGCCAGAGCCCAGCUCCAGCCCUUGUCAGCGGCACCUCGUUGACUUUUAGCGCUUCCUUAUCGUGUCCGUGCUCACCUCGCGCGGCGCCGAUAAAAUGCCGCGGCCGGGGGGAUCUGCUGAGCAGCCCUGCAGAAAUCCCUGCACAGCAUGGGAGCCUGAGCUGCCAGCACCAGCCCAGGGCACGGCCAGGGAGGAGGAAACCCUUGUGGGGACAGAAGACAGAGUCAUGGGGCAAAGAAGAAAUCAAAGUCCUAUCAAGCUGAAGCAGAGACAGAAAGGUCAAGGAGUCAAAACAAAAAGAAAGCAGGAAAGAGGAAGAAAAUAAUUGGGCAAAGGUGGGAGAACUAUUAGCAUUGUUCUAUACAAUGGAGAAGUGUCUCAGCCAUUAAAUACACUCCAUAAACACUGUAUUUUUUCAGCUAGCUAGGCUAAGGGCCUCUGUGGGGGCAAGUACACAAAUGAUGGGUCCCCAAGCCCUGCUGCUCUCUCAAUGAGAAUAGAAUUUAUCACCUGUAUAACGAUCCUGAAUUCAUCUGGGGGGAGCUGCUGUGGCUCUAGCACGGUCUGGCUCCUCUGUAUCAGAUUUCUGAGUAAGCCUGUAUUCCCCAAAGUAAUGUGAAGGUUGAUAUGAGCAAGGGAAUGCAUUUGGUAUUUUACUUUGUGAAUUCCAGGGGAAGUGCCACAUGCAGUAGUCAUGGAUGCUGUGUUUAUCCUUAACCCCCCUGCUAGCUUGAAGACAGUGGUGCUGCAGCUUGGGUCUCUGAAGCUGUUCUUGGCACGUAGGCUUUUGGCAUUAAAAAUCUCCAUGAGUCUGUCACCACAGCCACAGCCAUUCCUUGGGGUGCACAGUAUGCAGGGUGUUGGUGAUUUGGAAUUAUCUAUAAGGCAUUGCUCUCUUUUGUCUGGCCCUAGUCAGGGGACUGAAGUGAAGGUCACUAAAUGCAAACCACUUGGAUGAUGCAGGAACAGAAGUCUCCCUAAUAGCUAAACUAAAAUCUUUUAGGAGGUAGCUUGUUCUCACACUCAGCAGC